CAGAGACCCCCUUUCAUUUGGUAAGCAAAUGUUAUGUGCUUUGCUACAAAAGCACAAAAGAAGGAAAUCUGCUCUGUCCGAGGUCUCGCUUUCCGGCUGUUCCUAGAGGACCUGAUCCUACAGUGAUGACAACCGGUCAGGAACUAUACCGGCACAGGUUGACCUACUGAACGGUGACCCGGAAAGAGUUCCAUUGGACUCAGUGAGUAUAUUUUUAGGGUCAUGUCGUGUCUGCAUGCCGUGUGUCUUUUUUCUUGUGCCUCCCGGUGG